UCCGUAGGUGAACCUGCGGAGGGAUCAUUAUAAGUUCACCCAGGCUUGUACAGCUGGGGACUGACAACCCUUUGAUUUCCGACUCUGUUGCCUCCGGGGCGACCCUGCCUUCGGGCGGGGGCUCCGGGUGGACACUUCAAACUCUUGCGUAACUUUGCAGUCUGAGUAAACUUAAUUAAUAAAUUAAAACUUUUAACAACGGAUCUCUUGGUUCUGGCAUCGAUGAAGAACGCAGCGAAAUGCGAUAAGUAAUGUGAAUUGCAGAAUUCAGUGAAUCAUCGAAUCUUUGAACGCACAUUGCGCCCGCCAGUAUUCUGGCGGGCAUGCCUGUUCGAGCGUCAUUUCAACCAUCAAGCCCCAGGCUUGUGUUGGGGACCUGCGGCUGCCGCAGGCCCUGAAAACCAGUGGCGGGCUCGCUGUCACACCGGGCGUAGUAGAUUUUAUCUCGCUCAGGGCGUGCUGCGGGUUCCGGCCGUUAAAAGCCUUUUUUACCCAAGGUUGACCUCGGAUCAGGUAGGAAUACCCGCUGAACUUAAGCAUAUCAAUAAGCGGAGGA
rnacentral:rRNA from 1 species